rnacentral:rRNA from 1 species
UACGUAGGGUGCAAGCGUUGUCCGGAAUUAUUGGGCGUAAAGAGCUCGUAGGCGGUUUGUCGCGUCUGCUGUGAAAACCUAGGGCUUAACUCUGGGCGUGCAGUGGGUACGGGCAGACUAGAGUGCGGUAGGGGAGACUGGAAUUCCUGGUGUAGCGGUGAAAUGCGCAGAUAUCAGGAGGAACACCGGUGGCGAAGGCGGGUCUCUGGGCCGUAACUGACGCUGAGGAGCGAAAGC